UACAGAGGGGGCAAGCGUUGUUCGGAAUUACUGGGCGUAAAGGGCGCGUAGGCGGCCUCUUAAGUCGAACGUGAAAUCCCCGGGCUCAACCCGGGAACUGCGUCCGAUACUGGGAGGCUUGAAUCCGGGAGAGGGAUGUGGAAUUCAAGGUGUAGCGGUGAAAUGCGUAGAUAUCUGGAGGAACACCGGUGGCGAAGGCGGCAUCCUGGACCGGUAUUGACGCUGAGGCGCGAAAGCUAGGGGAGCAAACGGG
rnacentral:rRNA from 1 species